GGGAAUAUGGCUUAGUGGUAGAGUGCUUGCCUAGCAAGCAUGAAGCCCUGGGUUCAAUUCCUCAGUACCA
rfam:Dipodomys ordii contig_53833, whole genome shotgun sequence.